rnacentral:rRNA from 1 species
AUGAUGCCAGRCGAAMGACGCKGGGCGGCGUGCCUAACACAUGCAAGUCGAACGGUAACAGGGACUUCGGUCCGCUGACGAGUGGCGCACGGGUGAGUAACGCGUGGAGUUACCUGCCCAUCAGUGGGGAACAACUCCGGGAAACSGGAGCUAAUACCGCAUACGACCUUCGGGUGAAAGAGGGGGAUCUUCGGACCUCUCGCUGAUGGAUGGUUCCGCGUCCGAUUAGUUAGUUGGUAAGGUAAUGGCUUACCAAGACGAUGAUCGGUAGCUGGUCUGAGAGGAUGAUCAGCCACACUGGAACUGAGACACGGUCCAGACUCCUACGGGAGGCAGCAGUGGGGAAUUUUGCACAAUGGGCGAAAGCCUGAUGCAGCGACGCCGCGUGCGGGAAGAAGGCCUUCGGGUUGUAAACCGCUUUCAACAGGGAAGAAGGAAUGAGGGCCAAUACCCCUCUGCCUUGACGGUACCUGUAGAAGAAGCCCCGGCUAAUUUCGUGCCAGCAGCCGCGGUAAUACGAAAGGGGCAAGCGUUGUUCGGAUUUACUGGGCGUAAAGAGAUCGUAGGUGGCUUGUUAAGUCGGAUGUGAAAUCCCGGGGCUCAACCCCGGAACUGCAUUCGAUACUGGCAGGCUUGAGUUCGGGAGGGGGAAGCGGAAUUCCGUGUGUAGCAGUGAAAUGCGUAGAUAUACGGAGGAACACCUGAGGCGAAGGCGGCUUCCUGGACCGAUACUGACACUGAGGAUCGAAAGCGUGGGUAGCAAACAGGAUUAGAUACCCUGGUAGUCCACGCCCUAAACGAUGUCUACUAGCCGUUGCGGGUAUCGACCCCUGCAGUGGCGCAGCUAACGCGAUAAGUAGACCGCCUGGGGRGUAUCGGSCGCMAGRCUAAACUCUAAAUGAUAGUAGA